AAGCAAUGUUUGUGGAGUUUUCGCCUCCCCGGAGAGGCCCAGAAAAUUGACCGGAUGAUGGAGGCCUUUGCCCAGCGAUACUGCCUGUGCAACCCUGGGGUUUUCCAGUCCACAGACACGUGCUAUGUGCUGUCCUUCGGUGUAAUCAUUGUGAACACCAGCCUUCACAAUCCUAACGUCCAGGACAAGCCAGGCUUGGAGCGCUUUGUGGCCAUGAACCGGGGCAUCAAUGAGGGUGGGGACCUGCCUGAGGAGCUGCUCAGGAACCUCUACAACAGCAUCUGAAACGAACCCUUCAACAUUCCUGAGGAUGAUGGGAAUGAUCUGACCUAUACCUUCUUCAACCUGGACUGGGAGGGCUGGCUUCUAAAGCUGGAGGGCCGGGUGAAAACCUGGAAGCAGCGCUGGUUUAUCCUCACAGACAACUGCCUCUACUACUUUGAGUAAACCACGGACAAGGAGCCCCGAAUUAUCCCCCUGGAGAAUCUGAGCAUCCAAGAGGUGGAUGACCUGAGGAAGCCGAACUGCUUUGAGCUUUACAUCCCCAACAACAAGGGGCAGCUCAUCAAAGCCUGCAAAACAGAGGCAGAUGGCUGGGUGGUUGAAGGGAACCACAUGGUGAUUUGGAUCUCGGCCCCCAUGCAGGAGGAAAAGGAUGAGUGGAUCAGGUCCAUCCAGGCAGCUGUGAGUGUAGACCCCUUCUAUGAGAUGUUGGCAGCCAGAGAGAAGCAGAUUUCUGUCAAGAAGAAGCAGGAACAGCCCUGACCCCCUGUCCCCAACUCCAUUAUUUAUUACGGAGCUGCCCUGCCUGGGUGGCCGGACCCUUGGGCCUUGGGGCUGUGGAUCAUGUUUCCCAGUUUGGAAAGAUCACCAUCUCUAGCUCCCCUCUCAUUAUUUGUAAUUAACAUGCUGUUGGUAA